rnacentral:rRNA from 1 species
AACGAACGCUGGCGGCGUGCCUAACACAUGCAAGUCGAACGAGGAAGCCCUUCGGGGUGAGUAGAGUGGCGCACGGGUGAGUAAUACAUGGGAACAUACCUUCAGGAGGGGGAUAACAGUUGGAAACGACUGCUAAUACCGCAUAGUCUCGCAAGAGUAAACGAGGCCUCUCCUUGGAAGCUACGGCCUGAAGAUUGGCCCAUGUCGCAUUAGCUUGUUGGUAGGGUAAUGGCCUACCAAGGCAACGAUGCGUAGCUGGUCUGAGAGGAUGAUCAGCCACACUGGAACUGAGACACGGUCCAG